UACGAAGGGAGCUAGCGUUGUUCGGAAUCACUGGGCGUAAAGCGCACGUAGGCGGAUGUGUCAGUCAGGGGUGAAAUCCCGGAGCUCAACUUCGGAACUGCCUUUAAGACUGCAUCGCUAGAAUUGUGGAGAGGUGAGUGGAAUUCCGAGUGUAGAGGUGAAAUUCGUAGAUAUUCGGAAGAACACCAGUGGCGAAGGCGACUCACUGGACACAUAUUGACGCUGAGGUGCGAAAGCGUGGGGAGCAAACAGG
rnacentral:rRNA from 1 species